CAGAGGUCUCAAGCGUUGUUCGGAUUCAUUGGGCGCAAAGGGUGCGUAGGUGGCGCUGUAAGUCGGGUGUGAAAUUUCGGAGCUUAACUCCGAAACUGCAUUCGAUACUGCGGUGCUUGAGGACUGGAGAGGAGACUGGAAUUCAUGGUGUAGCAGUGAAAUGCGUAGAGAUCAUGAGGAAGACCAGUGGCGAAGGCGGGUCUCUGGACAGUUCCUGACACCGAGGCACGAAGGCCAGGGGAGCAAACGGGAUUAGAUACCCCGGUAGUCCUGGCAGUAAACGGUGCACGUUUGGUGUGGGAGGAUUCGACCCCUUCCGCGCCGGAGCUAACGCGUUAAACGUGCCGCCUGGGGAGUACGGUCGCAAGAUUA
rnacentral:rRNA from 1 species